rnacentral:rRNA from 1 species
UACGUAGGGUGCAAGCGUUAAUCGGAAUUACUGGGCGUAAGCGUGACGCAGGCGGUUUUGUAAGUCUGUCGAUGAAAUCCCCGGGCUCAACCUGGGAAUUCGCGAUGGAGACGUGCAAGGCUAGAAUCUGGCAGAGGGGGUAGAAUCCACGUGUGGAGCAGUUGAAAUGCGUAGAGAUGUGGAGGAACACCGAUGGCGAAGGCAGCCCCCUGGGUCAAGAUUGACGCUGCCAUGC